UACGAAGGGGGCUAGCGUUGUUCGGAAUUACUGGGCGUAAAGCGCACGUAGGCGGAUAUUUAAGUCAGGGGUGAAAGCCCAGAGCUCAACUCUGGAAUUGCCGUUUGAGACUGAGUGGCUUGAGUACGGGAGAGGUGAGUGGAAUUCCCAGUGUAGAGGUGAAAUUCGUAGAUAUUGGGAAGAACACCGGUGGCGAAGGCGGCUCACUGGCCCGUAACUGACGCUCAUGCACGACAGCGUGGGGAUCAAACAGG
rnacentral:rRNA from 1 species